rnacentral:lncRNA from 1 species
AGACAGAAGGCGCAGGGAAGCCCCUCCGUGAUGGGGACAGAGGGGACUGACACCGCUGCCAGCCAGCAACGCCAAGGCACCCGGGAGCCCCAGCAGCUGAAAGGGGCUGAUGCCUCGCUGCCUCCAGGACUGUCGUUUCUCGUCACCCGGCAUGAGCCGCCCCGGGAAGCGAAGACGGAGGCGUGGACUGAGGUGCUUUGCCGUGACAUGUGUAACAAAGCAGACUCUGCCCAGGAGCAGAUGUGUUUGUGACCACUUGCCAUGUCCUUGCAGGGAAUGCCAAAGACUGUACUGUUGUCACCACAGCAUCCAAAGGACACGGAUUACAAAGCAGUACCUAAGAUGACUUAUAAGCCACUUUGGGAGCUGCCAUGCUCUGGCGCGGACCCCACGGGUGGGUGCUGCUGUCACGCUCCGCACAGUGCCCUGACCCACGUGUGCCUGCCCGAGUCACAUCGAGCAGUGGCCUGCAGCUGAGGGUCCGGCUGAGCGGAGGUGGCGCUGGAUGCGCCGUGUCCGUGUCCCGUCCCGGGAGUUCACAGUUUGCCUUGGGAGGUGAUCCGACUGGCCACAGUCUGGAGGCCUGGAGGGGCUGAGGCCAGGAGCAGCAUGAAGAGUCCGGGGAGCCAGGCCGCACCCAGUGGACAGGGCUCAGCUUGGGGACUGGAGGGCAGCUGCGACCUGGGCACUCUGGGUAGAGGGAGGGGCUCACUCCGAAACUGAGGCACUGACGGCCGGAACCCAGCCGGAACCCAGACUGGGACUCGAACCCACGGUUUUAAAUGAGAAUCCCUCACCCUGUGUCUGGACUCCCUGAGGUUCGGGUUCUUCAUGUCUCUGCGCAGAAGGAAUUCAGCGAGAGACAAAGUGAUGGGCACAAGGCAGAUUUAUUAGGAUAGGACGCUUGUGAGAGGCGCCAGCGGGCAGGCGAGGAGGCUCUGCCCCGGAGGGUCCGGUGGGCCGCAGUUUUAUCCUCCAGGGGAGUGGGGGUCGGAAAGGGCCGCCUCUUCCUUUCUGGGAGUCGCAGCUCCUCCUUAGCAUCGGGUCAGGUGUGUAUUCAAAUCAGCUGAGAGGUGGUCCUCAGACGCCUGCCCUGGGUCUGAAUCUGAAUGCAGCCCUCAUCCCAUCCCCAACCCCAUGCCUUGAGGCAGUUCUCCUCCCUCCACCAGCAAAGCAAGCCUGCCUUGUGCUGAUGGCUUUCCUGAACCACCAGUGGGCUCCUGGCAGGUUUCCCUCGGUAUCUGUGACCCCCCCUUUGAGGCGGCUACAACCACCUGUGCCUGCUCCAUCCCUAUCAACCCUGCCUUCUCUCCCCUCUGUCCCCUGGACCGGGUGCAGCUGGAGGGGGGGCGUGCUGUGACCCCUGGGGGUGAGCCACCCUCCCCAGAAGGUCUCAGGGAGCACAGCCCAGCUGUUGCCGCGUGCCCAGCAAGGUAUGUAGGGAGCAGGGGUCCCGUCUUGCCCUCACCGGUGCCUAGCGGUGGCGGUGGCAGAGGCCCCGGUGCUCAAACCAAAGGGGAGGCCUGCCUCAGAGAUGAGCGAGGGUCACAGCCUGGGGACAGCCACUCUGUCAGUGCCUCCCUCGUCACUUGCCCUGUGGCUCUUGGCAAAAAAUAUCUUUAAAACCAAAAAAGAUGUUCGCUGUGCGUCCCUGAUCAAGAUUCACAAGAAAGAGGAAAAGUGGAAAAAAAGUGACAUCCUGUUUUUCAGCCAGGUUUGGGGGGAGCUUGGGGGGGGGCGUCUGAGACAGGGCCCCAAGGGAUAAAGUGGGUGACAGUGGCAGCACAGAGAAGACAGAGGCUGCCUGGGUAUGAGUCUGGUCCAGCUGCCUCAUAGGGAAGGGGUCUGGAAUUCCCGGGGAGGCAGAAGGAAGCCGUGAGGGUCUCAGCGGGUCUUGGGGGGGGGGGCACUGCCAUCCAGCUCAGGAGCACGGGUCCUGGAGGUGGAGGAGGUCGGGCUGCGGGAUGGGGAGAGGGCAGGAGGGACGACGGAGGGGGUUUCUCUUCGGCGCGAACAUCUGCCAGGCUAAGGGGGAAAGGUGGCUGGCCACGUAGGGACCUGGACCAGGUUUUAGCAGCAGCGUGGCUAAACGCUGGGCGACGCCACAAAGACGCACAGACGGCCAGAAGCCUGUGAAAUACGCUCACCAUCGCCAGCCGUGAGCACUUCACUGGAAUCGAGAAUUUAAUAAAGAACUUGAGGAUGUUUGAAGGAGGACAUGCCCUGAUGAGUCGCCCUAAAAUUGUCACGUGUGUGGAUAAUUACGUAACUCAUGGUCACGUAAGGAAGUAAGACAUAAAAGGAACAUAAAAAUCAUCUAUAAUCCCCCCACCCAGGGCCAGUCAUGGAUUGCAUUUCAGGACCUGCACAACCAGAUGCUUUCAUGUGUGUAACUCAGGCGAGUCAGUUUACAGCCAAGAUUUUACUCCUUGGACUCAAUUAUACUUGAAAUCCUGUUCUUGGUUCUCAGCUUACUCCCUCCUCCCACCAAUCCCGGGUAAAUGUCAUUCAGGAUAAGAAACAUACAUUUUCAACCAUGUCCCGGGCAAAGGUGUGUGUGCGUGUGUUUCUCAGCCUGUCUCAUCAUGGGACGUUUAUAGACGGCCUCCGGUUUUUCAGUAUCAGAAACAAAGCUUCAACAAAUAUCUUCGCUGCUCAAGACAGUUACACUUUAUUAUUAUACCUUUCUUCUUUUUCCUUAGGAUAAGUUCCAGCACUUUCUGAUAAAGUAAUUCAAUUGUACAGGCGCAUGUGUGCGGCUCUUGAUCACGAGUUACCAGUCGCUCUGAUUUCUGCCUGUGGAAUUAAUCGUCCUUAGCGGCUCCUAUCGCUGGUGCCUGGCGGCCCGGCUCCCUCAGAUGUGAGCAACCUAAUCGGUGACCUCGCCAGCCCUCCGCCUCUCCCGUCACUCAUUCUGGGACAAACGGCUCUUGUUCUGCUUUUCAUUUGCAAAGACUUCCUGUUCCUCUGUUUUUUUUUUUUUUUUAAUCAGAGCUGAGCUUAAAUCGCUUAAACGGGGGUUUAACAAGAAACCUUGCAACGGCUUCUACUUUUAAAUACUCAGUGGCUCUUUCAAAAUAGGACGGUGUAAAUAAAGCUUAUGGCUGAGCACAGGCUAGGGACGCGUCCCUGGGGUUGCAGUUACUUUGCUUUUGCCGUGUCUUCAGUUUUGCAGACAAGCAAUUCAGUCUGCCAAUGGAACGCUUCCUUUUUGCAAUAAGGACAAUUUGGGGAAUUGUAAUUUAGCAAAUGGUAACUUCGUCAGUGUGCUUUGGUAACGAAUUUCCUUCUUGGGUACAGAGGGUGCCGUGUGACACUUCUGAACGUUAAGAACGGAGCCACCACCUACUCAGGGUCAC